GGCGGGGCGGGGCGGGGCCGGGCCCGGGCCCGGGGGACGCGACCCGCCCGGCGAGGCUGGUGUCGCCGGCGGGCCGCCCUCCCUGGCUGGCACCGUGGGUGCUGGCGGGAGAGGCCGGGGCGGCUCCUGACGGAAGGCUGGGCAGGGGCCACGUAGGGCUCAGCUGAGGGCGUCCCUCGGGAUCCGGGUCAGGCGGUCACCCGUACGUCGGUUCGCGGGGCAACUUGCAUCUGUGUGUCAGUAACGGCUUCGGCAAAAAUAAGACCCGCCCUGCGUCCCUGCAGCUUUGAGCAGGUGGGAGAAGAACCCGGGUCUUCACGGCCAGCCGGGAGCCUCGUGCACCCAGUUAACAACAGCCUAAUAACUCGCGGUGGGUCGCUGGGCGCGGACGAGCUGUCAGUAACGCUCACCGGAGGAGGCUAAUCGCGCUGCGUACCUGGCGGCCUCGGCUUUUCCUGAAUUCCGGGCCUUCAAGACUCCCGUAAGUGAAUACGUGACCUGAAGGACUUAGCUGACCCGUAUACUUCACCGAGUUUCACUGAAGCACUGGGACAUCUUCGGCACAUCCCAAAGCGUUUAGUACUUUCGUAACCCCCUCGUGAGGAAGCGCGGCUCAGCUGCGAGUGGAAAAGAGCCGCUCGGAGGUCAGGUGCCGCAGCUAAAGGUCACAAAGCUGUUCCAUGGUGGAGCUGAGGAGGAACCCUCAUCUGCCGGCCCCGGUCCGCCAUGUCAACUUUACCAAACCACACAGGGCUGUUUUUUAAAGAACUCGUUCCAGUGGUCACAAUUCUUUCCGGACACUAAAAUAUGUAGUUAUGCAGUUCACUGAGACCCACCAAAAGAUAUACUUGUUCUGGAAAGUAGUUGUUCAUCACAGGGCGCAUUCAUUUUCUUUUUUAAAAGCACUUGUAGGUUAUGGAUGAAGUCAGUAAAAGCAGGCACAUCGAUUAGAAAGUCAGAAGACCUCUCACAUACAUUUGCAACAAACCCUGCGUUGAGGGCUAAAAAUGGAGUGGUUUACACGGCUGUUUUCUCAGGUAUGUUCUGUAUCGCGCCCUGCAUCCGUGACUUACCUGUUCGUUUGGGUUCCUAUUCCAGAAUGCAAGUGCAGGAGGAGGAAUCAGAGUGUAUUUUAAAAAACAACAACCCCAAAAAACUCCAACCCAAACCAAAAAAAGCUAUAGAGAGAUAGGAAGAGAGAUGUGGGCACAGCUUGGACACAGCACAAUAAAUGCGAAUCAUUAACAGGCAAAGAAAGGAGGAAGGGUUAGAGGGGAGGGCAAAGUUUAUAGUGAUAUACGCAGAGGAGCAAUCCAGAAAAUGGUAUUCUUUGGGAAGGCAGACCUUUUAAAACACAUUUUUGGAAGGGAUUUAAACUAGGAAAAGGACUUGACUAGUUUGGAGGAGUUUAAGUGCAGCCAAAAAGUGUCCAGCAGGGAAAAGGCAAAGAAUAAGUCAAUACUAGUUCCACAUAGAACUAUGUAUUUUAUCUAUGUUCUUAGACGUCUCCUGAUGGUAAUACCUAUACAAGAGUGAUGUAACUGGCGCAUCAGUUAGUGCCACCUCAUCUACAUUCAUCUUCCCAGCUGAGUUUUUGUUUUGGUAGGUAGGGGAUGUUUUUAAUAUUCUUACUGGGAGUAAGAGAACAGAUGGACUAUUUAAGAGGGGAGGACAGUCGCAUAGGACAGGAAAAAGAACUUCAGUCUGACAUGCAAUUAGCUGGGGGCACUGUCAGCUAUUUUAAAAACAUAUGGAGGGAGGGAGGAUUUCCUGCUCAUAUAGAGGAAGCAACACUUGAAAACAGAAACAUAAACUUCAUCCUCUCGUAUCUACUGGAAAAAAAAAAGAGUGGCACACUGUUUGGGUGAGUGCAAGACUGAACUGUGUAGUCACUGUAUACAAAAUGAGAAAAAAUUGAUGGAUGAACGUUUUAUACAGUGUUUUCACUACCACUGGUGAUAUUAAUGCAGAACGAGAAAACUGAUGCCAUAGCUCAAUGUAUUUUUAGUAUAGUGCUACAUGAAACAGCAGUCCUGUUUUGUCUGGAGAGGCAAAAUGUAAAAAAGCUAACAUAAAAUUUCCUUCUACCUCAUUAACAUUUCUCUACACUCAGUUUUAAUACUUGGAUUCUUAACCUUGUACGGCUCCAUACGCACAUUUCAUAGAUUACUAGAGUAACAAUUCAUGUUUUGUUCUCCAAAGAUAAAAAGGCAGCACAAAACACAUGUCCAGCCCUGAGUUCCCCUUAAUUCCACCUGUGAGGCACAUCUACCGCAUUUCUUUUUUUUUUCCUCCAUGUUUUCUUUUCAGCACAGUUCAUAGUUGGAUGUAGACAAAAUCAGGUGUUAUCCCUAUGACGCAGAUAAACCGGAGCAGGAAAGACACCCAUCUCCGCCUUGUCUUUUAGAGUGCAAAAAAUACUGGCUACCUCUUCUCUCCUCUGGUGCUCCCAUUUCCUCUCCCUCUCUGAUGCACCCUCUAUCACCAGGCAUCAGCAGCAGGGUUGGAUUCCGCUCCUGCAGGGAGAGAAUGAGAUUAUUUCCUCCUCCAUCUCCUCUUCCUCUUCCCCCACUGCUGCCAACUCCUGCAGCAGUCGGUGUUUUUUCUUAAAGCUUCAGGUGCAGGAAUUAUGUGAUUACACAGGAAUUUCUUCUUCCAUUGAGAAUAAAAUGUCCCUAGCUACUGAAAACUCAGCACAACAGAAGACAAAUACAAAUAAUGAUCCACCUUUGGAUGUAGGGAAAAGGUUGCUGUGAUUUCUGAAUGCUUGAACUUGACAAUAUGGUCCCUGUCCUGGCUCCUCUUACAUGCAGCGGCACUCAGUGCCAGGUAUAGUUAACAAUCUGUAGCCAUCCAGCCAGAGCACCCAGCCGUUGCGGUGGGAGGAAAGAAUCAGUCUAAAUUGCAUUUUUGUCUGAGCUACUUGGGGCAGGAAUGCCCAUGCACAGGGCAGAGGCAUGAGAAAAGGAAAAUGAAGGUUGUGACAGCUCUGGAUCCCUUGUGCCCACAAUGCUGUAGAAAUACUAGAGCCCCAAUAGUCCCUCUUUUUAGUAAAAUGACCUGUAUAAAUAGGAGCUUGUGGAAGUAAUAUCAAUUGAUACUCUGAUCGUCAGACCUUUUUCAUUGCUGUAUACUUUGGAGCUAUCACUGUUCCUGCCCAGUUGACAGAAAUACUGAUAACCAGCUGGAGGAAUGAUUCAUAAUUAUGAAAAGCCCAGAGGUGGUGGGAGGAAAAACAUCUCUGCCUUAACUCACAUGGAGCAGUCGCCUCUCACCUAUAUUUACUGAAUGGUUUGCUGGAUCAAAACAACUGGGGCAGAAAUAAGGUCCCAACUUUUUAGUAUGGAUUCGUUUGGUUUCAGAAGAAGAGUGAGUUUAAGUAUAAUUUCUACAGAGAAUAGUUACAGAAUAGAUCUCAUACUCAUGCUAAGUUGUUUACACAACGUUAAUGGAAACAGCAGCUCAAAGCACUAUAUAAAGGUAUCACAAGUAAGUAAAAUUAAAUUGGGGUUGUUUUACAAAAUCAAAGGUAGAAGGAAAGAGCAAGAGAAAAUUCAGUCUUGGCUUAGGAGUGUCCAGCAAUAUACGAUAAGGUCCUUUCAGUCCAAUGCUAGAAUGUUUUUACCUCCAAAAAAUCUAGACUGGAUGGGCAGAGACUAAAAGAAAAUGACUGUGAACUAAGUAUCUGAGCUACUAAAUAAGGACUAUUGAAGAGAAUAUUCAAACAUGAGCGUUACUAGCCACCUGCAUGCUUGCUCGACAUUAACUGGUAAAGAAAACUCAAAAGUUUUAAGUAUCUGCAACAGGAUAGGGACUUUUUACUGUUAGGAAAUGUGCCCAAGUACAGCCCAGGUUAGAAAUUACUUGGGCUCAUUAUGUGAUAGAUAUUGAGUUGUGUAUUAAUCACACCCAUUGCAGUUCCUGCUAUCCAUAUGUCAUGGAUCAUCACUAAAACCUGAAGGAUGAGUUGGAGGCUGAGGGUAAGGCAUCUGUGGAAUUUAUCAUUUCUCAUUACAUAUCUCUGGAUUCGAGAAGAGACAUGGGGUUUCCCUCUGCAGAUAAACAGGAGGCGGUAGUUCCCAGAAGAGUGAACCAGUCAGCAGCGAUAAGACUAUAUCAACUUUAAAACGCAACAGUCCAAAUACUAAAGUGGGAUAAAGUGGUCUGCGUACCAUGCAGGGAGGUUAAAAAUACGCAUAUCAUGUGCUGUUACUGGUGGUUACCAAACGGGGAGAUUCUUUUUUAUUAACUCUUUCAAAAUUAAUGCUCUCGUCGUUGUUGUUUGUUGCAUUUGCAAGGAGUUUUUGUUCCCAGAUAUUUAUUCUCAGCCCUGUAGUUCUUGUGUAAGUAGUCUUCCCCAAAUGUGGUCGUAGCUUUAUGCAAAGAUUAAGAGUGUUUUCAGGCUGCUUGGCUUGCUAGUUGUUCUUGUCAGUCACCUUCCAGCUUCCCAAACAUGCUCAUGUUCUUGUGAUUUCUGGACACAUUGUCCUCCGGCAGCCCCCAGUUUUGCUGAGCUUCCCCUGGCUGGUAGCCAUUUUGUCAAGAGUGAAGACUCGCAGUCUUCAAGAGGAAGAUUUCCUGCUAACCCCUGGAGAAGCACUUUCCGUUUGUCAAAUGUCUUUCAUCACCCUCCCAGCUCUGCGAGGGGGUGGUGAUCUCCCCCUUGUCAUCCAAGAGCAGCAAGAAGGAAAGUGGUCUCUUGAGACUGCACUCCAGCACUGUCUGAGACGCCUCCAAACGUGUGCCUGCAUUUUCUGUUUCAUUGACAAUGUUGUCUCACGCACUUUGGGGAUGAGAGAACCACAAGUCAAGGCAGAGGCCUUUCCCACCAGGGCAAAAGGGGCAGGACUCUUAGACAGACAAAACCCUAGCAAACUCUUUCACUGCUUUCAAAGCAAGUGACAACACAUUUGAAAAAAAAAAGCAUUUGACCCAUUUAAAAUAAAUCCUGUUUACUUUGCUUGCCUGAAUAGAGUUGCUAAUGUUAGCAGGAGGAAGAUGAGCAGAAUGUGGCACUACUCGCUUCCCUCUGCAUUUGAAUUUUCUGUAACACAUGCAUUUUUCACUUAGAAGUUGACAGACCUUUACAAAAAGAAUUUUUUUUUUCCUCAUAAAAACCAGAAAACCCAUAGAUGAUGGGCUGGCAGUAGUGACCAGCAUGGAAUAAUUACCCCUAUAACACAGUUAAGAGCAUACAGAAGGAUCUGCAGGAUCCAUGUCAUGCAUAUACAGGAAUGAACGGGCUCUGGACCUGUUCAUUUGGUAGCCAGACCACUGCAGUAGUGAUGCUGUUGGUACUGAGGGCCUUCAAACAGGUCGUCUGUCAAGAUGCUUUUGAGUCCCUAAUUAUAUGCAACCAAGUUUGAUCUUCACCUCUAGGAAACUGUGUUCGUGUACCUGCCACUCUUUCUUUCUUGGGGCUGGCUCUUAAUUCUAAGAUUUGUAGCUUGCAAUUUCUUUUUCCAGGUUCAGCCUUUCUGUGGUCCUCAAAAAUGGGGAAGGAAAUGCCUUUUUAAUUUUGUUGCCGUUAAGAUCCCUGAUCUUGUUUAGGACUUCAGCCACCAUUGGCUCAAGAAUGUGGGGAUAUGUCCUGGAUCAGACAUAACAUUGUUGGAAGUGAAACAGUAACUACGGAUAUCAUCUGCUCAGGAUACUGUGUCAGUGCUACCCCGUGGCUUUGCUAUUGCCAGCCAGGUUUGCAGAAGCAAUAGGAAAGUUAGCAAAGCAAAGCAACCAGGGCUCAGUUAUUUUUAUUACACUCCAUUUCCUCGCAGCUGAUCAAAAUAGUCAAUACCUUCCAAAUCCGACCAGCUUGACAUGCAAGUGAAAGCUGAACACCAAGCAAUGCUGGGGCAGUGUCUUCUGGUUAGUAUGCGAUCCUCUUUGUCAUGCCCUGUUUCAGCAGCAAGAACAUACGGCCCAGUGUUCAUGCUCAAACCAGAAGAUCUCAACCAGUUUUAACAUCUCCAAAACCCUAAGGCAAGACCCCAAGGAAGAUGUUGUGCAGGGCAGUGGGGUCACAUACAGCCAGGAAGCCCCUGGGACAGCAGAGGCUGUGGUCGGGGCCCCACUGGGUUGCUGUGGAGCAGGAGGACCAAGCUGCUGAGAGCUGCUGAGCUGAGCUCAGCCUUCAGCCCCGGGCAGUCCUCGGGGGUCCUGACCCUCUCCCAGCCUCGGUGUCCUGCCAGGGCCGUGUCUCUGCUGCUUACCUCCCCACAGAGAGCUCCGAGGCCAGGGGACAGCAAACCACCCAGCCCCUGCAAGCUCAACCAUUGCAAGGAGGAGACAGAUGGUCUUAUUCGAGGAGCUAUUACUGGUACCAGUAAGCAUACUGCGGUGGCUGCUCCCUGGCUACUUAUCCUGUGUCUGCUCAUGAAAAAGACCACUGAAACUACUCUUGGGCCAUUAACUUUGCCUGGUGCUCCAAGACUGGGAUUUGGGUUUUUUUUUGUUAAAGACGGUUUUCCAAAGGGGCAGAUAAUUGCUGUUCAUUCUUGAAAUUAAAAAAAAAAAAAAAAAAAAUCUUUCUUGCUACAUAUA